GAUGAACGCUGGCGGCGUGCCUAAUACAUGCAAGUAGAACGCUGAAGCUUGGUGCUUGCACCGAGCGGAUGAGUUGCGAACGGGUGAGUAACGCGUAGGUAACCUGCCUGGUAGCGGGGGAUAACUAUUGGAAACGAUAGCUAAUACCGCAUAACAGUCGACAUUGCAUGAUGUUGAUUUGAAAGGGGCAAUUGCUCCACUACCAGAUGGACCUGCGUUGUAUUAGCUAGUUGGUGAGGUAACGGCUCACCAAGGCAACGAUACAUAGCCGACCUAAGAGGGUGAUCGGCCACACUGGGACUGAGACACGGCCCAGACUCCUACGGGAGGCAGCAGUAGGGAAUCUUCGGCAAUGGACGGAAGUCUGACCGAGCAACGCCGCGUGAGUGAAGAAGGUUUUCGGAUCGUAAAGCUCUGUUGUAAGAGAAGAACGAGUGUGAGAGUGGAAAGUUCACACUGUGACGGUAUCUUACCAGAAAGGGACGGCUAACUACGUGCCAGCAGCCGCGGUAAU
rnacentral:rRNA from 1 species